rnacentral:rRNA from 1 species
AAUGGGGGAAACCCUGACGCAGCCAUGCCGCGUGAGUGAAGAAGGCCCUAGGGUUGUAAAACUCUUUCAGAUGCGAAGAUAAUGACGGUAACAUCAGAAGAAGCUCCGGCUAAUUCGUGCCAGCAGCCGCGGUAAUACGAAUGGAGCGAGCGUUGUUCGGAAUCAUUGGGCGUAAAGCGUAUGUAGGCGGAUAUGAAAGUCAGAAGUGAAAUCCCGGGGCUUAACCCCGGAACUGCUUUUGAAACUCCAUAUCUAGAAUCCCGGAGGGGUGAGGGGAAUUCCGAGUGUAGAGGUGAAAUUCGCAGAUAUUCGGAGGAACACCAGAGGCGUAGGCGCCUCACUGGACGGGUAUUGACGCUGAGAUACGAAAGCGUGGGGAGCAAACAGGAUU